rnacentral:rRNA from 1 species
AAACUAACAAGGAUUCCCCUAGUAACGGCGAGUGAAGCGGGAAGAGCUCAAAUUUGAAAUCUGGUAGCCUUCGGUUGCCCGAGUUGUAAUCUAGAGAAGUGUUUUCCGUGCCGGCCCAUGUACAAGUCCCUUGGAACAGGGCGUCAUAGAGGGUGAGAAUCCCGUCCUUGACAUGGACCCCCGGUGCUUUGUGAUACACUUUCAACGAGUCGAGUUGUUUGGGAAUGCAGCUCAAAAUGGGUGGUGAAUUCCAUCUAAAGCUAAAUAUUGGCGAGAGACCGAUAGCGAACAAGUACCGUGAGGGAAAGAUGAAAAGCACUUUGGAAAGAGAGUUAAACAGUACGUGAAAUUGUUGAAAGGGAAACGAUUGAAGUCAGUCAUGCUCUUGGGACUUACCUCCCUUGAGUGGGGUCAACAUCAGUUUUGAUCGAUGGAUAAAGGCACGGGGAAGGUAGCACUCUCGGGUGAACUUAUAGCCUCGCGUCAUAUACAUUGAUUGGGACUGAGGAACGCAGCAUGCCUUAUGGCCGGGAUUCGUCCACGUACAUGCUUAGGAUGUUGACAUAAUGGCUUUAAACGACCCGUCUUGAAACACG